ensembl:lincRNA Gm27207 predicted gene 27207
CUUAGAGAGCUGUGCCAUCUCAUGGUCUGGACAGUUCUUUUCGCAAUGCCAAGGAGAAAAAUGUCAUUUCGGUGCUCGUCCAUCUUGACAUUUCCACAUAAAACUCGACUCCAAGCUCAGAACAAGCAGCAAACAAAAUCUGGCUAAGAUUUGACUUGCAUGGUAACUCAUAAUACAGCCUUUCAUCUCUGCACAGAUAUGCUCCCUCUUCUUAUUCCAUGGAUUACAACAUGUCAAAUUUUGUAUUCUUAAGUGUGUAUGGCUAGUGAAACCAAAUUACAACUGGCUAUUGUCCUGAAGACUCCAUACUUCCUACGCAAAAGCAAGCUAUAGGCUGUUGGAGGUUCAGUGUCCUGACGUGUAAGGAAUGCUGCUCCUCAUCCCCACACAGGAACUAUGAGGCAAACCGACAGCCAGUGCUGCUGUCAUCAGAGCAAGGCAGAGAAUUACAUCUGGAAUAUUCACAAGCUGCUGUGGCAACCCAUUCCCCAUGGCCUUCAAGUCCUUCAGACAGAAUGAAAAUGGCGCUAUAAUGACAGUUUAUGAAAUGAAAGCAAAUAUAGUGGCCUUGCAUUUGCAGACUUUCUAUAGCAGAGAGAAUGGUAAUAAAGACAGAAAGUGCAUGCUGACCCCCAUCUUGCUGUAUUUCCAUAACAACGCAGCAGCUCUGUAGCUCCAGUGGGGCAAGGCAUCAGGCGAGAGAGUUAUGAAUGCUUCCUUUAUCUGCAGAUUCUUCAGUGUCAGAGAAGGGGGGCUUCUCUGAGGUGCACUUUUUCUUAGGUCAUUGAUAAAAGAUAAAUUCCCUAAAGUGAAUCUUUGGAAAUCGUUUGUUUGCUAGUUGAUUCUCAAACACUCUUGCCAACAAGAGAAAGCCUGAGA